GAUGAACGCUGGCGGCGUGCCUAAUACAUGCAAGUCGAGCGAACGGACGAGAAGCUUGCUUCUCUGAUGUUAGCGGCGGACGGGUGAGUAACACGUGGAUAACCUACCUAUAAGACUGGGAUAACUUCGGGAAACCGGAGCUAAUACCGGAUAAUAUUUUGAACCGCAUGGUUCAAAAGUGAAAGACGGUCUUGCUGUCACUUAUAGAUGGAUCCGCGCUGCAUUAGCUAGUUGGUAAGGUAACGGCUUACCAAGGCAACGAUGCAUAGCCGACCUGAGAGGGUGAUCGGCCACACUGGAACUGAGACACGGUCCCGACCCCUACGGGAGGCAGCAGUAGGGAAUCUUCCGCAAUGGGCGAAAGGCUGACGGAGCAACGCCGCGGGAGUGAUGAAGGUCUUCGGAUCGUAAAACUCUGUUAUUAGGGAAGAACAUAUUUGUAAGUAACUGGGCACAUCUUGACGGUACCUAAUCAGAAAGCCACGGCUAACUACGUG
rnacentral:rRNA from 1 species